UGAGCAGCUAAACAUCAUAUCCUGUGGGAACUAAUGUCAGGAACAUGAAUAUACCUGUGAAGAUGACUCCCUGAGAGUGCUCCUGAAAGUGUUCUCGGAUGGAAGUUUCAGACUCCACAUAACAUGUACUGUAAAAUAGCAAUAGUGAAGAAGUGAAGAAGCCCAAUGGCAGCCCAUUUGCGCACAAUACUGCUUAUAAUAUCUUCUUGGGGCAGCUAUUUCCAACUAGAAAGAAAAGAGUACUCACAUGUAACACUUGUGAGGGGUCUGCUAAGAACCUUGCUGUCAAACCUACUACUUUCAUCAGAAACAU